GGAAGGAGAAGUGGUAACAAGGUUUCCGUAGGUGAACCUGCGGAAGGAUCAUUGUCGAAACCUGUAAAUCAGACUGCGAACACGUGUUAAUAAUCUUCGCCCGCUUGAUGCUUGCGUCCAGCGGGCUCACGAACCCCGGCGCGGCAUGCGCCAAGGAAAACUAAAAGGAUGCGUCGCGCCCUGGAUGCCCGUUUGCGGUGCGUUUUGGGUACGUGACGUCUCUCAAAUGUCUAAACGACUCUCGGCAACGGAUAUCUCGGCUCUCGCAUCGAUGAAGAACGUAGCGAAAUGCGAUACUUGGUGUGAAUUGCAGAAUCCCGUGAACCAUCGAGUCUUUGAACGCAAGUUGCGCCCGAAGCCUUAUGGCUGAGGGCACGCCUGCCUGGGCGUCACGCAUCGCGUCGCCCCCCUCCAACAUCCCUAGGGAUUUACGAGUGGGAGCGGAAAAUGGUCUCCCGCGUGCCUUUGUGCUCGAGGCUGGCUUAAAUAAGAUCCUGCAUCGAUGGAUGUCACGACCAGUGGUGGUUGAAAACUCAAUCGUUCUGUCGUGCAUCACCACAUCGUUUGCGAGGUAUUUAUUCGAGACAACGGUGCUUAACGUGCCUUCGACCGCGACCCCAGGUCAGGCGGGACUACCCGCUGAGUUUAAGCAUAUC
rnacentral:rRNA from 1 species